GGGCUCACUUCAGCAGCAUAUAUACUAACAUUGGUACAAUACACAGAUUAGCAUAACCCCGGCACAAGAAUGACAUGCCAGUCUGUGAAACAUUCCAUAUUUUU
ensembl:snRNA U6 U6 spliceosomal RNA